UUAAAAAAAAAAAGUGAAGAGAUUAGAUUUCCUCAGAAUCUCAGUCAUAGUGCUGAGGGUGAUGUAGUCUACUCCUUGUGUGACACAGAUGACAAAGUGGAGAUGAGGCAUCUUACUUCGAAGGCCACAGGGACUGGGUUGGCAUUCCAGCUCCUGCACUAGGCUUUUUUUCUCCUUUCUUCUUGCACCGGCCUCUCAGAAGCCAUGAAUCUCUGUCAUAAGAAAAUAGACAAGACCAGCCCCUGGG